CUUCUCUCAGAAAUUUUUGAAAUGUUAGCAAUUUUUUUGAAUUCUAAUGAUGUUUGAAUUCUAUGCUUACUAGAUGUUACAGUGAAAUCUUGAUAAGUCAAAACCGGUUAACUCGAAAACCUGUUUAAAUUAAAGAACUUACUCCUAUCAAAAGAAUAGCAAAUCGUGUAUAAACUUGCCCACGCUAACUUGAAAUUUCAGUCCGGAGACUUUGUUAAGUCAAACUCAAAAUUGCCAGAUGCAGAAAUAAACUUAGCGUAAUAAGGCCACAGAAGAAACUGGAAUCCU